ACACUCCUACGGGAGGCAGCAGUGGGGAAUUUUGGACAAUGGGCGAAAGCCUGAUCCAGCAAUGCCGCGUGAGUGAAGAAGGCCUUCGGGUUGUAAAGCUCUUUUGUCAGGGAAGAAACGGUGAAAGCUAAUAUCUUUUGCUAAUGACGGUACCUGAAGAAUAAGCACCGGCUAACUACGUGCCAGCAGCCGCGGUAAUACGUAGGGUGCAAGCGUUAAUCGGAAUUACUGGGCGUAAAGCGUGCGCAGGCGGUUUUGUAAGUCUGAUGUGAAAUCCCCGGGCUCAACCUGGGAAUUGCAUUGGAGACUACAAGGCUAGAAUCUGGCAGAGGGGGGUAGAAUUCCACGUGUAGCAGUGAAAUGCGUAGAUAUGUGGAGGAACACCGAUGGCGAAGGCAGCCCCCUGGGUCAAGAUUGACGCUCAUGCACGAAAGCGUGGGGAGCAAACAGGAUUAGAAACCCCGGUAGUCCC
rnacentral:rRNA from 1 species